rnacentral:rRNA from 1 species
AGGCAGCAGUGGGGAAUAUUGCACAAUGGGCGCAAGCCUGAUGCAGCGACGCCGCGUGAGGGAUGAAGGCCUUCGGGUUGUAAACCUCUUUCAGCAGGGGAGAAGCCUCUUUGGGGGUGACGGUACCUGCAGAAGAAGCACCGGCUAACUACGUGCCAGCAGCCGCGGUAAUACGUAGGGUGCGAGCGUUGUCCGGAAUUAUUGGGCGUAAAGAGCUUGUAGGCGGUUUGUCGCGUCUGCUGUGAAAAUCCGGGGCUCAACCCCGGACUUGCAGUGGGUACGGGCGGACUAGAGUGUGGUAGGGGAGACUGGAAUUCCUGGUGUAGCGGUGGAAUGCGCAGAUAUCAGGAGGAACACCGAUGGCGAAGGCAGGUCUCUGGGCCAUUACUGACGCUGAGAAGCGAAAGCAUGGGGAGCAAACAGGAUUAGAUACCCUGGUAG